rnacentral:lncRNA from 1 species
CGAUGCCCACUAUGGCAGUUUGUUUGAUCACCAAGGAUCAUUUCUUCCCACCAAACGGAUGAUGGAUGUCGCCCUGUUGAAGUCCUCCUGCUCUGGCUCCCAGAUGCCAUCACUCAGCUCAACCUCUAAAAUCCUGCACCUGCUUCUACUCCAAUCCACAAUCACUCAGUCCAACCUCUAAAAUCCCACACCCUGCUGCUGCUCCAAUCCACAAUUGCUCAGCCUC